UAAUUUGAUGUAAAUUUUGCAAAUAUUUGGAUAUGCUUUUCCUAUAACUAAUUUUUCUUGUAUGAUUGGAUUUAGUUCAAGUUGGGAAGCAGCAGGGGGUUGUGUAAACAUUGAACCAAUACAGAGACUGGUGCAGACUCUGUGUAAUGUAAGGAAUGUGUUCCGGAUACUCUCCAAGUAAAAAGCAACCAGCUACCAGUUCUUUUGUGUUUUUACCCCCAUAGAGUGCCACUUUCAAUAUAAAAAUUACAGUGUGAAUCAGAAGAAACUCAUCACGGUUUAAGUGAAGGUGUUUCUCUCUUUUCAAUUAGAAACCAUAUUCUCUUUACACACAAACUGUGAGAUUUCCAAAGAUCAGUAGGAAAUCAGCAAUCCCUGGUUCUCUUGCACUCAACUAAUCACAUCCUGUCUUAGAAUAACUUUAUUAAUGGGAUCAAGGGUAAGGUAAGGUCAAAUCAUGAAGACAGACACAUCCAGGAAGGGGGGGAUUGGGUAAAGUGGUUCAUAAGGUAACAGAGGAAUUGUUCUUUAUGAUUAUAUGAACAGUUUCUUCAUGUGAAUCCUUGAAAGCAGCAAUGUUUAUUCAGAUUCUACAUUUAAUAGUUAUACAUGUAUGUAUAUGCCUGCUAUUUAUCUGUUCAUGAGCUAUCUGAAUGUAAUCAAAAGUGAAACAUGCAGGCUUUUCUUUUUGUGUCUUCCAAAAAAAUGUCUUGAAAAAAAUACAAUCUAAAAUGCAUUUACCAGGUAAAAUAAUGAUAGUUCAAUUUCAAAAAUGUAUACUGAUCAAAUAUCUAAACCUGACUAAAUUAUUCAAUGUUCACAGUUUGUAAGCUUGACAAUUUUGUAUACCCAUAAUUAAGUAAGAUCUACUUCAUAUUUCAAGUUCAAACAGAUCAUCUCUCUAAAAUUUGAAAUGCAAAUUCAGCAAAAUGCACUCCAUCCUAAAGGAAAUUUCAUCAUGCUAUAUUUUAACUGCCAAAAUCCACAUGGUAAUGAUCAAUUAAGUUAUUGAAUCAAAGUAAAUUCAGCUCACUCAAGGGAAAAGAAUGCUAGUGUGUUUCAUUGUAUGUUUCAAAAGAUGCACUGGUAUAUAAAUUUUUUAAAACAUUACAUAAAAAUUAAAGAACUUGGAAUUGCAUGCAUUGCAAUUUCUAUAUAUACAUGAGGUCUUUGCUGUCAACUUUUUGGAGUUUAUCAAUUAGUAAUUGAAUGGUCAUUCAUAGUUUCUGGAUUUGAAGAAGACGGGGAAAGUGGGACAGCCAUGUUAACGGCAUUGUGUUUAGGGUCAGAUUUCCUGUCAACUAGGUGUCAGUGACCUCUCCUAACAAUGUAGGGGAGGGAGGAGAAAGAAAAAAAAAAGGAGUCUACCUCAGCAGAAUAUGACUGAUUCAAUCCGGUCAGAGCACCCAAAGCUUACAAAUGGCCGUCGUUUGUUCCCCAUGAUUUUGGUGUGUACAUAGGCACAAAAUGCCCAUGAAAUUCAAUAUUUGCUUGACUGUUUAUCUCACUUUCAAUUAUUGAAUGAUAAUUAUAGAGUGCUGAAUGAAGGCCUUAAUCCGAAGAAAAUUGCUACAUGGGGUGUUUAAAUUGGUGAUCUUUACCCAUUCCUUUGUGUACACAAGUGCAGACCGAUUGGUUACAAGUAAAUGAUGUGAUAUGUGUAUAAAUGUGCUUUGGGAGCCAUCACCAAAAGAUACAUUGCAAUAAAAGCCAUGAUGACUGUUGGACACUGUACAAAGAUAUUGCUGGAGACUUGUGGGAGAUAUCAGUGAUAUAUACAAGAAGGGUGUUACAGAAGAACAGCAUUCAGUUGUGAGAACGUUCAGUAGAUUUGAUAAUUACUGAACUUCCAAUGUGGAGAAAUGGUGAUGUAGAAUGGAAUCAGCCCCAACAUGUAUCUUCCUCAUUCUAGUGAUUAUCAACUACAAUUAAGAAUGCCACUUGUUCUUUAGUGAGGGCCUGCCAAUUUCUCCUAUCCCAGGAAGAUAGUGUGGAGCCAUAGAAAAGAUAAACUGACCACCCUGAUAUCUACAUGCAGGAGGAGGAAAAUAGCGAGGGAGGGUGCUCUGUCAGCUCAUCAAAAUUAUCACUUUUGCCAGAGUCUAACUCCAGAAUUGUUGAAAGAGGCUGUUGUUGAUAAAAAGAAAUGCAGCAAGGAUUUUUACAUGUGUCAAUUUGAAAGCAUUCAUUUUGACCCAGCACAUAUUUUCUGUUCAUUUUUUCCAUUUUUUGUGAUCAAAGAUAAUUACAUGCUUUUGGGUAAUUUUAAUGAUUUUUUUAAAUGUUAAGAAAAUUAACUAUUUAUAAUGUUCUA